GACGAACGCUGGCGGCGUGCUUAACACAUGCAAGUCGAACGGACUACUUUGCUUCGGUAAGGUGGUUAGUGGCGAACGGGUGUGUAACGCGUAGACAACCUACCUCUUAGAUGGGGACAACAUCGCGAAAGCGGUGCUAAUACCGAAUGAAGUGACUUUCCUGCAUGGGAGAGAUACUAGAGGUGGCCUCUAUUUAUAAGCUACCACCGAGAGAUGGGUCUGCGUCUGAUUAGCUAGUUGGCGGGGUAACGGCCCACCAAGGCGACGAUCAGUAGGCGGUCUGAGAGGAUGAACGGCGUCAUUGGGACUGAGACACGGCCCAAACUCCUACGGGAGGCAGCAGUGGGGAAUCGUCCGCAAUGGACGAAAGUCUGACGGAGCAACGCCGCGUGAGUGAAGAAGGUUUUCGGAUCGUAAAGCUCUGUUGUUUGAGACGAAUGUGCCUGUUUCGAAUAGGGAUAGGUAAUGACGGUAUUAAACGAGAAAGCCACGGCUAACUACGUGCCAGCCGCCGCGGUAA
rnacentral:rRNA from 1 species